rnacentral:rRNA from 1 species
UCGGGAAUUUUGGGCAAUGGGCGCAAGCCUGAUCCAGCCAUGCCGCGUGAGUGAAGAAGGCCUUCGGGUUGUAAAGCUCUUUUACCAGGGACGAUAAUGACGGUACCUGGAGAAUAAGCCCCGGCAAACUUCGUGCCAGCAGCCGCGGUAAUACGAAGGGGGCUAGCGUUGUUCGGAAUUACUGGGCGUAAAGCGCACGUAGGCGGAUUGUUAAGUCAGAGGUGAAAUCCCGGAGCUCAACUUCGGAACUGCCUUUGAUACUGGCAAUCUAGAGUCCGGAAGAGGUUAGUGGAAUUCCCAGUGUAGAGGUGAAAUUCGUAGAUAUUGGGAAGAACACCAGUGGCGAAGGCGGCUAACUGGUCCGGUACUGACGCUGAGGUGCGAAAGCGUGGGGAGCAAACAGGAUUAGAUACCCGAGUAGUCCCUGAGCGGGCUGGCAAGGCGCAU